CUCUUAAUACUCUCUCUCCCUCUCCUCUCCUCUCUUCUCUCAAGCGUCGUCGUCUUCUUCUCCUUCCUCAGGGGAAGGAGCCCUAAAAGGAACUACUAUCUUCUUCCUUAACCUGCUCGAAGCUGCUUCCGACUGUGUCAACUCAAUCCCAGCAAAUGAAAGCGAUUGCCUUUGACGGACAACGGAUCUAAUUAUCCAAUCGUUUCCGGAUCAUUGAAGGCUCUGAAAUUCAAGAUUUCAAUUUGCCGCUGUUGCUGCUGCUUCUUCUGAGAUUAAAAGAGUGACAUUCUGUAUAGUUAGUGUUUGGUGAUCGUAUCUGAAAGUGGCAGAAUGCCGAAGGAGAGAAGAGACCGUUCGCUGUCUUCUGACAGAUCUAGGGCUUCUCCUUUUCCUUGCAGCUCUAGUCGCGCUAGGCGGUCUUCAUCCAAAAACCAUUCGGAGCCCGCGAAAGAUGUGAAAGAAUGGGAAGAGGCUAGGUCUUCAUCCAAACAGCCGUCGGAAUCCUUAGAGGAUGUGAAAGAGUGGGAAGAAGCUAGAUGCCCUGUCUGCAUGGAACAUCCCCACAACGCAGUCCUCCUCCUCUGUUCUUCCCAUGAGAAGGGAUGCCGCCCUUACAUGUGUGAUACAAGUUAUCGCCACUCGAACUGUCUUGACCAGUUCCGCAAGGCAUUUUCACAGACCCCAUCAGCAGAAGCAACACAAAAUGAGGCUCUUCAAUCGAGCACGGCCUCUGGUAGAGUGACCUCGGCUGUUGCUCCAAUGGAUAUACAAGAGCAACCAGGUGGAGAACUUGACCCCGAAGACACCAGUUUGUUCUGCGAGGGCGAAUCGAGUACGAAUCUUGUGUGCCCACUGUGUCGCGGGAAAAUAAACGGGUGGGUUGUUGUGGAGGCUGCUCGCCGGUUCAUGAAUGCAAAAUCUAGGAGUUGCUCGUGUGAGACGUGCGAUUUCAGUGGGACGUAUACAGACCUCAGGAAGCAUGCAAGACUAGUACACCCCCUUGUGCGGCCAUCAGAAGCGGACCCCGAGAGACAGCGUGAUUGGCGGAGGCUAGAACGGCAAAGGGACCUUGGGGAUGUGGUCAGCACGAUUCGAUCAGCACUUGGGGAGGAGAUGGGGAUGGGGGAUGACGAUUUUUUGCCUUUUGGAGGAAGGCUGCUCGUGUUCUUAUUCUUCAGCGUCCAGAAUGGUUCCAGUGCCGGUAACAGCAGCUGGUCUGGUGCCUCAAGAGCUCGAGGGCAGCCAAGGAGCCGCCGGAGAACAACCCUGUGGGGAGAGAGCUAUGAUACAGACAAUGGGUCUCCAACCGCAGAGGGUGACAUCGAGUCAUUGGAGAGUGUGUCGCUUCUGUGGCGACGACGACGACGACGGACAUCACCAGAUAACGAGCCAUGAAAGUGAACAGCCUCAUUCCUAUGUGUUUUUGCUCGUCAGCUGGUCUGGGUUGUUUCAAAGGGGAAGGGGGAGGGAGGUCGGGAGGAAGCAAUCAAAGCUAACUUUCUCAACUCUCACUUUGAGUACGGAGACUGCUCAGCAGAGUGCUGAAACUGUUCUGGCUUGAAGGGUUUUAGUGAUGUGAUAUUAUAGACAAAAAAGAUUAGCAACGGAAAUAGAGAAAAAACCUGAAUCUCUGAGUCUGAAAUUUAUUUCUUACCAUCAAUUGUGUUUUUCUUCAAAUAUUUCAUAAUCCAUUUAGAUGUUGGCCAAGGCAUUGCCGAAUUCUGUUUC